UGUAAGUAAAAGUUUCAUAGUUUAUUUAAUUUUGUCAAAUUUAUUCGGUGUAAGAUGGAUGUAGUAAAUUAACAUUACUACUGGAUCGACGGACUGUUAGUUGUAACAUGAUGCGAUCCAAAGCAGCAGGAUAUGGUGUGCUGUUCCGGUGAUAAAUGUCUCAGUUCCACCUGAGACAUCAUCGUGAAGGUCUGGAAUAAAAUAAAAAUCCAUUCGCUCAAUACCUACAUUGAGCAGCUAGGCAGUGAACUGGUGCAAUCGCGAUUCCAACGUCCUGGCAGCAGCUGUUGCAUUGAAUAGAUUCAUCAGGAGAUGGGAUCUCAACUUUGGUAUUAUACGUUAGCCGAUCCCAAGGACAACUAGUUUGCCGUCAUGAAGUACCUUUCUCACCGCACUAUCAAUGUCGAUGUUGGUCAGCGAGGGACG